rnacentral:lncRNA from 1 species
CGAAGACCUGGCAUUGUGAACAUCGGUAAUAUAUGUGUGCCUGGGAUACAAACGCAGCAGGUAUUUAUUAUGUGUUACAGGAAAAGAAGCGCUUUUCUCUGGAUCUCUCUCCUUGCUGCCUGUGCUGAAGGUUAGUUUCUAAAUCUGGCUGUCUUCUGGAUUUGUUUGUGUUUUUAUUUGCCGCUGAACAGAAAUAAUGUUUUCCCCAGAAUGUGAGCUCCAUCUUAAACAGGUUUUUCCCUUCCAGUAUUCACCUUAUGCAUUCUGCAUAACAAUUCUUUCAAAGAUCCUCUCCUUUGGGGAAAUAUUCUUGGAAUUUAUGCUUAUAAGAUUUUACACAGUGUAUGGACUGAAUAACAUUUUGUUUCAUUCGGUGCCAGCUUGACAAACCUACUUCAAUACACAUGAAUUAUAAUAAGCACCAUCUCUCAAGUAGUAUAAUUUAAAUGAAUUGUCUUGAGGCCGACUGAAAUCAGGUCAGAAAUUCCUUUUUGAAUGUACAGCUUGGUUAAGUGUUGAGAAGAAUCACUAAAUUAGGAUAUUAGACAGGAAAUGGAUCCAGCCUGAAGUGAUAAACCAGAAAUUUCUUAUUGCAAAUUACACCAAUAGUAUCAAACUUAAUUCCUUGAACAUUUUUUGGAAACAAAAUAAUAUUACCUGCUGGCAGAGAUUUCUCAUAACUUCAUGUCUAAUUGUAAUAAAAUCACAGGCAGCUGGUCAAAGUGAGAAUGCCUCGGCGAUGCCACUUUCCUAUUUUGUCCACUGGCUUACUCUCCAUAAAAGCCCAAAUAUGUACUUGAAAAUAGUUUUUGAAUCUGUGUUAAAGUUUAAGACUGGGGUCAUACCACUACCAACAAAAUGCAGAAAGUAAACUCAGAUACAAGGAAUGCCGUCCACGUAGAGAUCUUUGCAAGGGAAGCUGAGAGUUGAAGAGCUUGGACCUGAUUAGCUAGGUAUUAAAAUAAACAGCAUUGCAACCAUAGAGGACAAAACUACACUAGUCAUUGACCUCAAUCAGCUGUGGCUGACGACAUGUAUUGAUGCUAAUGCUUUAUUUAGUUUCAAAAAUCAGGAUCAGCGCCAGUUUAUGACUGUUUUAAGGCAAGCCAGAUCAAAACAUGAACAAGUUAAAUUAUGUCUAUUUAAGCUGUUGUUUUUUAUUUAGCAAACACAAAUGCCUUUGUCCUCUUCGAUCUAAUUUGGACAACUGCGAAUAUCAGCCAUUACAUCUUUAACAGACCGGGUCCAUCUUGGGUUUUGUAAAUGCACUGCCACUGAUUUACAUUAUAGACUGUUUAAAACAUGCUCAAAAUCUCAGUAAGUCAUACCUGUUGGUCUAUGGUUCAACCAUAGACUGUAUAUAGAAUGGACAGCGUCUGUCUCCAUGCUGGGUGAAGCCACUCCGAGAACAGCACCCUCUGUUGAUGGGCUGCAGUAUAGGUCAUCAAUCCUGCCUCCGCCAGCAAAGCUUGUGGGACUGUGGACAAACUUUAGAAAUUUAUUAAACAGAACAUAAAUUUUUCUCCCCCCUGGUUGCGGUGUUGACAUGUAGUUACAGGUUUGUGCUCAAGUCCUCUUUUUCUGUAAAGCUCCAUUUUUAAAAUUUGUUAGGGGGUUCAUGUUUUCUAUGAUUGACACCUGAUACAGCCUAUUGGCGUUAAGGGAUUGCGUAGCUCACCCGGGGGAUACGCUGUCUGAGCCGAGUGUUAUCACAGCGUCUCUCUGCGACUGUGCGCCUGAAUGCGCGCAUCGCUACUGCGCAGCGCUGGUUUCAGGAAAUGAACAAAAAUCCCUGAAAUACCGAGAGCUAUUUGGCUUCAAAUCUGUAUACAGGCGGUAGGCGGAACCAAGUUGUCCAUAGUAUAUGCAGUCUAUGGUUUCAACCCUCACCUGUGGUCAUGAGCUGUAGGUAGUAACCUAAAGAGUGAGAAUGUGGAACAGGCUGCUGAAAUGAGCUUCCUCUAAAAGGUGGCUGGCCUCAGCCUUAGAGACAGGACCCAAAGCACAGAGUACAACUGUGCUCCCUUGCACUGAACGGAGCCAGUCAAGGUGAUAAGGAUGCCUCCCUGGUGCCUCCAACUGGUGGUCUUCCAGGCACGCCCAACUGGGAGGAGAGACCCAGAAAUAUAUGUCCUGUCUGGCAUAGGAAUGCCCUGAAUUACACCAGGAUGAAAUAGGAAGCAUUGCUGGGGAGAGUGUUGUCUAGGGCAACUUGCUUUGCCUGUUACCAUUACGACCUGGCUCCGAUGUCACCCACUGGGCUGUGAUGAGGUGUUUUCAAGCCCUGGCAUCAUAUCUGCCAUUUUGGAAAUACUGGCUCCCUCAACUAACUCCCUGGCAAACCAUUACAGCAUGCCCCUCUGUCAGUCAAAGCUGCAUAACUCUCAGCUUUAAUAUGAUCACAGCAGAUGAGCUAUUAGGAGAAAUAAAAUCUGCUGUAAACUUGGCUAUUAUUCGGGCUCCAAUGGGGUCUUCUUGGCCUCAAGUGAAUACUCAAGGCACUGCAGGUCUUUAUACUUGCACAGUGGCUUCAUUUUUCAACAUUAAAGGUAUCCGCUUAAUUAAAACAUACUCUCAAAUCACAACAAAGUGUCAAAAAAAACAAAACACACAAGUGGGAAGAAUACCCCGAGGCUGAUUGGCUUCAUCACAGGACGUCUGCUGCUGUCAUUUAAACCAUGACAAGAGAAUUGAGUGAAAAUAUCAAAACAAGAAGUGUUUCAGUGGAAAAAUCAAACUUUAGACUGAUGAUCAGAAAUCUAAGAGGACAGACAUCACUCCAUAAAAUAAGCUGGAUGUCAAAUGCCGCUAAUUAAGUUUUGUGAUGACUUUGUACUGAUGCACUUUCUUCUUCACUUCGAUUUAAAAAAAAAUGUUUACGGCCUUUAAUGCUGCCAGGAUGCCAGCAGAUACACCUUUGUGCCGUUAAUCCUCUAAAUAAAUGUUUCUUUAAAAGCAGCAGAUCAAUUGGAGAUUGCUUUGUAUCACAUUUCAAUGAAGCCAGCAGAGUUAGAGGAGAAUGAGAGUGUUAGGAUGUUUGAUGGCAUUGCUCCAGUAGAGGACUUUCAAACAGACUGGGAGCUGGCUUGGGAUGCGGAGACGAUGCCAGCAACUUGAUGUACGUUGGUGAUGCAGCUGGUCUUUCUGCGUUUUGCUCUGUGCAGCAGAAAUUUUGAAAAGGGGAAAAAGAGAAGCAAACUUUUCAGCUUUCAUAUUUCACUUGUUGUGGAAAGCCUGGAAAACAUAUAAAGUUGUUGUGAGGAACUUACAUUUCAUGUCUAUUCAGACGUUUUCUGACCCGUUGUGGGAUUUUUUUGUGAACUAGCUCUUCAAUUUCAGCAAUGACGGGCAUCAAAAAUCAGAAAUAAUCACCUCUGUUGGUGCUUUUUGCCCGCAUCAGUUUUAUUUUCAGUCUUCAAACCAUCCUACAGAUUCCUCAUAGGAGCUUUGAUUAUGAAUGAGUAUGAAUAAAUUAGUUCAAACUGAUGGUUCCCUACUACAGCAUCCAUCAGCCAUCAGGGUACGAAUGUGACGUGUGCUUUAAAAGCACUUUGAGAGGUUGUUAGAAAAGAAAAGUGCAAUACUAUAUAAGCAUGAGUCCAUUUACCAUCAAGAUUGUGUCAUCAAAUAUUAACUUAAAUCAUAAGAGUUUUAAAGCUCCUGUGAGGAACCUUCAACUUGUGACAGUUUUGGCGCCCCCUGUGGACAAAGAAGUUUAUCUUGUCCUCUACAUGCUUGAACAAUAUCUCCUAUCGAACUAUCAUAUCCUGCUGACUUUUGACUUUCAAAUGUUUUAUUUAUUGUGACUGCUUUAUGCAAACAUUGGGCUGUUUCUCCAGCUGCUCAGCUCACAUCAGUGGUCUUGUUUGCAUCUGGAUAUGAAAGAAAAGCAUCAAUAUGAGUUUCAAGCUUCUUCAUGAAUGUCCAAAAACUCCUCACAGGAGCUUUAAUAAAUAUAAUUCCCUCUUUUUCCUUGUUUUUGGGUUGACUUUUUAAAACAGUGAGGCUCACAGGGCUCGAGCUGUGCUUGUCUUCUCUUUGUUAGAUUCAUGCAGGUAGAGUUAAGGGCAGGAAAACUGUUAUGAGCAAUAAAUUCCAGAUGAAAUAAGCACACCGGUGUAAGUAAUUGAUUGGGUGUAGUUCACCCUCUGAAAGGGCACCCUUGAACUGUCAUUCUUAGCCUCUUUCCAAGCAAUAAUAGCUGCAAUUCAUGCGCUACAAAAAUAAUAGUGUUGUUAGCUUCCAACCGUGAAUUCAUGCCCCUUUUGGUGAGAUAAGUUCAAAUGUUAAUACCAAGAAAUAACCGGCUGAAAACUCACAUAUUAAUGUGCGUAUUGAGGUUUGGAAAGCAGAUAGAACUGGGGGGCCCUUCCUUAAAAAUGCCUCCUGAAAAUGUUAAUGGCUGACAGAGCUCCUGAAAGUAUUGCCAGCUUUAAAGAUUGAUAAGCAGAUUGUCUCUCCAAUUUAUUACCCAACCUCCUCAUUCAGUCAAAGCCCUGCCUUUUAUUCAAGCUUUAUCAGGUCUGAGAAAAAGACACAGACUACCUACUUGAUUUUAAGGUGGCCCUGAGAUGAGGUCGAUUGAUUAUAAUGAUCUGUAAUUGACAUUACCUUUAAUAAUGUUGUUUAUUUGGGUAAAUGCGACUCCCUGAAACACAUGACUCACUGCAAGAAGGCAAAACAUCUCAGGUUUUAUUGGGCUUGGUUGUAAUGGCUUCUCCAGCCCUCACCGAUCACAGUGAUUUAACCAUCAGGGUGUCUUUUGAAAGCGUUUUAACCCUCCAAACUAAUGACAGAAUGAGCUCUCAGACUCAGCCUCCAUCUUAUGAAAUACACAGACAGCAUACUCCCACUCGCUCAGCUCUCAGAGCCUGUGUUCUGCAGAAAAUAUCUCCUGACCCAUGCUGCCAGCUUGAACUGCUCCCAUUGGGUUUCUGUCUUUGGCGUACCGAGCGGACAACAGCUAGACACGGAGCCUGCUUCCCGCCUCGGGCCAUCUACUUACCAAACUAAACAGGACAACAAAAGCUCAUGCAUGGAGCUGCUUUGCCUGCCUACGAGAAGCAGCUGAAUAAAUGCACUUGUACUUACGACCCAGGAUUAUGGAUGAUUGUCGUCAGCGUUGAAGAGCUCUCUGUCCUCAAACAACUACUCAGAUAGGAUGUAAACAAAUCUAACAUGCAUUGAGUCUCACUGAAGCUAACAGACCUGCUCUGAUGUGAACCUGAAAUGAUCUGAGCUAUAACUGGUGUUGAAAAUUGCUGAAAUGCUAAAUAAGGUGUUGAACUGUGGUGUGAACACAAGCAAUUAAGAGCUUCACCUCAUCUUACCUGGUGGAAACACAGGCUGUUUGUGGCUGAGUUAUUCGGCUGCAGAAAUAAAAACAGCAGCACAAGUAUCUCUGACAGACUGCUGAUGUGCUGCAGCUCUUGGCACAGACAUACUUGUACUUCCUAUGUGGUCUGUGGCCAAACAAACAAACAAACAAACAAACAUAUACCUGGUAAUAUUUUUAGCUUCAGUGUCUGGAUGUCUCUGGGGAUGGUAAUCUGGGUCAGUCAGUCCAUUUAUUUCAUCCCUACUGAAGCUGAACUAUUGAUGAAUUGCCAAGAAAUUUGGUACAGUGAUUCAUGCACCAACCCCCUGAUUUUUCAUCAAAUGUCAUGUGCAGGUCAGGGUUUUAAGAGAGCCAAUCAAAUCUCUUACAACCCCCAUGACAGUGUAGCCUUCAUUUUUAUUUUUCUACUCUCAUUCAGCUUUCAAUUUACAAAGGUUAUAAAAAACAAAUUGUAUUUUUGUUCAAUUUCAAUGUUUGACAAUCCUAUUAUCUACUCAGGGAGGUCUUUUUAACAGAGGAUAUCAUCCAUGUACUUUUGGAGGUUUUGGUGGAACAAGUCGGUGGUAGUGCUAAAAAGUUAAUGAAAGUAGGACAAGUUGGUUCAUGUUGGUUGGUAACUUCUUUGGUUGGAUAAAGGGCCAAUGAAAUACUGAGGAUAAAGUUGUAGCCCAAUCAAGCUCUCCCCUGGCCCCAGCUCUAAUCGGUGAACAACCAUCCAUUUUCAUACCUCACCCGGCAACCUUUGUGCUGAUCGGUUAUCGCAACGUGAAUAUCAGCUCAAGUUGAGACAUUUUCAGCUCCCGCCCGAUUCGCAUCAUUCGCGCUGCCAGAGUUGUAGGAGCGUCUAAUCAUGUCUUUGCAUUUACUUAGCAUAUAAUUUAUUCGCGCAAAUGAUUUCACUCACGCUUGGUGUUUGGAGACAGUAAGACAUGCAAAAAGUACCUGGCAGGGCUGUGUUGUGAUUGGACAAUGCUUGGUUACUAUCUUGGUUACUAUCACCCUAUGCAUUGCCUCCAGCACUGUAACAUUUGCUGCCCCUCUCCUACCUCAAACCUUCUACCAUCUGGGUGUUAAGCAUUAGCAUUUUCAUUUUGAUGAGCUGGACAUUGGCCCUUUAUCCAAUUGUUUGUUGGCCAAAAGCAUGAGUCCCAUCAACCUGCCUUCCUCUGAUGAGCCAGUGUAGUAUACCAAGGCCGGACUAACUCUAUAAAGGGAAAAAUGGGGGAAAAAAAGCAUGUGCUCUGCAACCUCUUCGGCCAAUCAAGGCUCCUGUGAGGAACUUGUGCCAAUUUUGGGCCCCCUGCAGACACAGCAGUACCUCUUAACUCUUUGCUUGCCCUGUCCUGGUCAUGCAUCGGUGGAUUUUUCUGACUAAAAUCUCAUUUUGCUUUCUUUUUAACGAUCACACAUCACUCAUUAAAAAGGUGCAUAAUACUAAUCUCUAAGUUUGACAACUCUUUGGCAGCUGUUGUAGAUAUUAAAAAAGUAAGAAAAGAAGUCAGUCCUGUCAACUUGAGUCUAGUUUGCUGCUGCAGGUCAUGAAGACCUCUCAACAUCAAUUUCAGUCUGUUUUACAGCCAGUUAAAAACGGGAGUGUUUAACAAUCCCAGUUAGCCUUACAUCAAACCUGUUUUGUAAAAGGAACACCAGACUACCUCCAAACCUUCUGUGUCAGGACUUUUCUUUUUUGUCUGUCCCUGUUAUUUGGGCUGUUGAUUUGAUCUCCCUGCUCUCUUACAUGUGUCCAAUAAAAGGUGCAGGUUUGUGGCAAAACACCUCUGCAUUAGUAGCUCAGAACAACACGUUAUUUGACCUCUGUCGUCUUACACCCCGCUUGCUGUGACACCACGCGGUUUAAAGACACAACAUUUAAAAAAAACAGCCUGGUUUGCACAAAGGCAUAAUAACGAUGUGGUCUGUUUGCGACGAGGGGAAAGAGCAGGGGGCAUUUGAGGGGCAUGUCGCUGUGAUUUUAUUUUUAAAAGGCUCUUAUGAAGGUUUUGAACCAUUAAAACAAGACGCACUCUGAUUAGCUGUGUCAGGUGGGUGACCUGCCUCUGUGACUGCAAUUAAACCUGAUACCGGUUGAUACGAAAGCGCGCAUGCAAAUGAAUCCUGUUAACGCUCCACGACACAUGUAUGAACAAUUAUAAAAGAGGUACGGUUCAAGAAUUACACGUCAAAAGGUUCGACAUAUAAAAAGAUCAUAUAACAUAUUUGCAUAGUACAUAUUGAUAUGAGUCAGAAAUGUCACACAGCAUCUGAUUGAAGGAGGCUCACCUAGCGGCUGAUUAUUAUGAGGGCUGUAGCUCUGACUGGUUGAUAAAUAUGUGCAAGAAUUGGAACAAUGUGACCUUUUGCAGAUAGAAACGUCUCUCACAAGACAUUAUAAUUGGCCGCACUGAAUACCACGGGGAGAACAAUUAACGAUAACAAGCAAAUAUAUUCGUCCCUCAACAGUAAUGGAAUAGCGUGGAAAAUAAAUGGUUCAAAGCCGUGUCUGCAGGCUUUCACGGCAUGCACCGGAUCACAGUCCCUCUAUACAUUUACAGUACAUGUGCACACUUUGCUGAUUACAAGUCCUUCUCUUGAAACCGAUUAGACGCAUGGUGCGCUGCAGAGGUUAAGCAGAGCGCUGCACGUGCAGGAAAUGACAGUGUAAUUACGGAGAUGACUGCAGCAUGCCAGAGACCUGCCUUAGCUCAGUGUGCAGCUGACAACAAACAAGCUCAGCCCCUAAAUGCGAGUUGUCAUGCCUUUGCUGGCGAACCUGCAGCAUGCAACAUUACAAACAUACAGAUCACACUCGGGUGAUUUCACAGCAUCAUGAAGACAGAGAGGGACAUAAAAGCUGCUUUUUAACCCACCUCUGUCUUUGGAUCUGCUAUUUUGAUACAACAGGGAGAGAGCUUUGAAUGUUGUAUUAGAUGCUCCACAUUCAUACUGUGUAACAUUUAUAAGAGAAGAAUAAAACACUAUCAUUUUAAUUUAUAAAUGAGUUUUUGUCUGCUUACUUUUUUUCCUCCUGAGGAGUUGGUGGAGUCUGUGCAGCCCUGCUGCUGCAGUAUAGCUGUGCUUGAGGAGUCUGUUUUUUGUUGUCAGCAGGAUUUUCUUCACUCCUACAUAAUUCAUAACUCUGUCCUUCACUUUCAUAUAGUUCUACUUGAAUGCAAGUCAACCCCCUCCACACAGACACAAAAAUAGACUUUAGUUCAGAGCAUCCUUUUCCUGCUACGGUAAAAAAACCCUAAUACAACUUGAAAACUAAAAUCAUGGCAAAGUGCAACCCUGUGUAGAAUACAAUUGAGCUUAUAUAAGCAGAGCAGUGAAUGAGUGUAAAAGAGUGUACCAUUGUGAGAAUCAACUCGCAAACAUGGCUCCUCAGCAGUAUUCCUCUGUAUAAAGUCUUUUUUUUUGAAUAUCUGAUGGCGUGACAUGGACCUGGCUCCAGCUGCCUAAGUCUUUGUUUUAGCAUCUUUUAGAAAAAGCAAACCUGAGCUCAAACACAGACCUCCUAAUUUUUCUGAAAAUCCUCUUUUCUCCACUGAGUUGAAGAAAUUGUUAGACAGUGAGGAAUAUUUGCUCAUUAUCUUUCUUGUUGAGUGUUAGAUUAAAAGAUUAAUACCACUGUGGAGCAGUGGGAGCUGGUCAAUAGAGAGUGCUGCUCAACAAUCCCCACAAGAAGAAUGGCAGACCAGCACUAAAUGAGAUUUUUAAGAUUUAAUUUGAUUUAUACUAAAACAUCUUUUUUAUCAGGUAUCAGUCGGGAUAUCUUUUCAUAGGAGUUAAUUUAAAUCAAUAGCCUCUAAUAAAUCUAUAGAAAAUGUUAAAUGACACCAAGAGGAGAUCAUGCAGCAGUGUUUCAUCUAGUUACAAAUAAGCGGAAACCUCUUAUCUUUAGAAAUAAGGCCAAUGCAGAAGUGCCGGAAACUGCAGUUCCUCGAGUCCCCACUAGAGGCUGGCUGCAGAAGCACAGAGAACCGCAUAGACACCAAUUCAAGAAGACAACUUUUGAAAAAACAUAACACGUUUACUGCCUGGUUCAGAAAUUGCUGUUAGUCUGACUAGCUUAAGGGCUCCUAAGGUUACCUGCUGUAAAGGGAGUGAAUUUUUUCAUAACACAUCUUUUUUGUAGUUAUCAAGGUCACAAUGUUGGUGAAUCUGAGGCAUUGCUUGCUUAGCUAACUGGCGGGCGCACUGGAGCUGUUUGUGAGGAGACUAAAACCCCACCCCCUGGUAGGUCGACCAUAAGUUGUGGCAAGUUAGCCGAUAUGGUGGCGGACACCAAUACGCUUCAAAACUCCACUUCACUAACAAACCAGUGAGAUCACCACGCUACGUCUAUUUAUCGUACAGUCUAUGAUCACAAAGCAUAGCUAACCUGCUUUUCUUAUUUUUACAUGUUAGACACCUUAUUAACGUUAAUUAACACCUUUAAAAACAAGCUCAGUCACUCUGUGUUGAAAUUACCUAAUGCUUAUGCUAUAUUCAAAUCAUAUUAUCAGCCAAAAUUUGACAUCCUAUACCUAAAAUAACAUAUAUGUUGCAACACCUAAUGUGAUAUAUGGAUAUUUCAAAAUGUGGAUAGCCCCCUUGAAAAUAAAUGCAUGUAAAUAUGAAGUCACUAAGGUUGCUUAGCAUAAUUACUCUGGAGCAAUUAUAACAUUUUAUUUUUGAAUUAUUGUUUUUUGUAUAUAUUGGAAAAAUAAAAAGAAACUGGUGAGCAGAAAAUGCCACUGACAAUAUAGCAUCAGCCUUUUCAUUGCACCCAGUCUCCAUGCUAAAGCUAGCCAGCUUACACAAGAUGGACAGACAUAAAAGAAACAUCAGUCUUCUCAUCUAAUUUUUUGCAAAGGAGGAAAAUAAACAUAUUUUUAAGAACUAUUCCUAGAGGAACUGUGAUAUGGAGCAACACUCAAAGCGAGGCUGAGCUGAUAUGUUGUUGUUUCUGAUUGAGUCUGAAGCUCAACUUUAAAUAUUAAAUGUUGUAUACUUUUUUAGUAUGAUUUCAUAAUGCCGGACUCUUGCCACAGAUGACUUCCUGUAAUUUUUGAGUUAAAAACUGCUUUAGUAGCUGAAAAGUAGUUCAGUGUUUUGGCUGGAAAUGCACAGAGAAAUAAAACUUUAUACUUGCAUUUUUCAAAGAGAAUUUGGACGAGUUUUGAGAGGAUGUAAAAACAGGAUUACCCUGUUUUUCUGCGGAGCUCCUCAUAUUCCUCAUGAGAGCUAGAGUAAGAUCAGAGGUCGUGUCUGUGCGAAUGGGCUAACUCCAUCAUUCCACGCGACGUGUUUCCAGAAUAGGUCAAAUCAUGUUGCCAUUAAUAUUUCAAACAUGCUAAAUGGAAAAAGAUGUUCAUGUGGUCGCCGUGUCCAAAUAGCUGUCUCUUUUUCUAAUAAGACAAUAUAUUUGAGAGACAGUUUCCCACAUCAGAUCAGGAAGAUGGGCCCUAUCUAUUACUUGUUGAGCCAUUUAUCUUAGCGCCAUUGAUGAAUUCAUUACGCUGACAAUCCCUGUCCUUAUAAUGAAAUGCCGCCCAAAGAUUGGCCCCUGGUUGAAAUGGAGAGCAGAGAUAUGUACCCUAAUAAUUGUGAAAUUUCACUCGAAGGAAGAUCCAUCUUUCGUCUGUGGGCUCAUAUUACUCUGCCCGCUAUUGUGUCUGCCACAGCUGAAGGUCUCUUUGACAUCCAAAUGAGUUUAGAGCAUCUCCCUUCAGCAAACCUCCUCUUUUUAAUUGGGGCCUUUACAGGUUUUGACAAGGAUGGGAAACUUUGAUUAAAACUCAUUAUAGGGGGAAACUUGUAUCAUAAGUACCAAUUAAGAUUUUUAUUAAGUAUAUUAUAAGGUUAAAGCAGCUAUUAUCCUGUGAUACAUGGCUUUAGACGAACAGAACGCUUUCUUAAAUCAGCAGCUUGGGGAAACAUUGGACAGUCGCGGCGCCUAUGAUUUGCUUUUAUACAUAUUGUAAUUAAUCGAAAUAGAAUUUAAACACAAAGAAUAUAAAGUAAAGAAAGCCCCAAUGGUUUUGGAGUGCGAAACUGCUCUCAAGAAGCCAAUUCGAAAGAGAAAAUGUGCAAUCACAACAUCUCCUGCAAAAAGAAAUUCCACCACUCCAUCCACUUGGCACUUCAAUAUGUUCGGUUAAAAGGAAAAGCUGUUGACGGACUAACCACAGUGUCCCUCACAAGCUGUUGUCACUCUCGGCUGCCCAAUGCUGUAAAAGUUUUGAUGGGAUGUGUGUCAGUGGAUUAUCUCGCCUACAUCCCCCCCAGGCUUUCAGUGUAGGUCUGUGACACGGGCACAGGCAUUUAGUGCGACUCCCAAGUGUCACUGGCAGCACAGCAGGACCCCGCAAGGCUCCAGGAAACACCAUCUAUCAUUGUCAUAAGACCGAUCAUCCACAUCAGCAGAGCCUUUCUUUCGGCAGACACCGUGACACCCAUUAAGCCGUCUCCCUGACCCUGUUCUGGUAUAUAUUAUUUGGUUUUUAUCUUGUUUUUUCCCCCCUAUCUUGAAUUGGAGUAGAUACCCGUGCUUAGUUAGAACCAUGAUAAUCACCUUUUGAUGAAACUGGAUGGAGAAAGAAGAGCACAUUACCAAGUCAUAAUCGGUACAAUGAGGGUUUUCAGAAAUCUCUUUUUUAUGAGGUUAAACCGAUAAAUCCUUCAGACUUUUUUCUGCAAGGAUAUUUUUCUCUGAUCUGCAAACUUGAUCAGUUGAUUCUCUGUCAAGCCACGCAAUAUUUUCCAUGUCUACUACAGAUGUUGUUGGGGAAGCAUCCCACUCAGGGUUGUUUCCCCCUAUAGAUAGAUCAGGUAUAUCAUCAGUAUGAGUAACUUGGCUGUAAUAACAUACUUAGAUAGACUGUUUGGGGAUUAAGAAUAUGGUCAUCCUAGGUAAAUUGUUUUCAUCCACUAAGAGAGGACAUGACUACCUAGGAGCGGAGCCACGGAGGUAUGCGCUUCUAACUCCUUAAUUCCACACGACACAAGCUCAAAACUUCCAUUAAAAACCCCUGGACAUUUGAAGGAUUUUAUAAACUCCCUAAGACAAGGCCGGACAUCCCCCCCAAAAGAGGACAUAUCCAGCUGAAAGAGGACACAUGGUCACCCUAAACUUGCCUCCAUCUCCUCCGGCUGUAAACUUUUUUGUAACAACAUAGAAAUUAUUAGUCUUGUUGCUCAAGGUGUCUUUACUUUUGAAGGACAUUGAUAAGCAUCAGUAUCAGCUGAAGUCUGCUCCUCAUAUUGCCUUAAAAUAUGGAAAUGCCCAGACUGGUACAUAGAGUAUACUUAACCUUUUUCUCCUCUGAUGGAUUAGACUAAGUUUUCUAUUAUAAACCGUGUCCCAUCUGCUGACAUUGAGGAGGCUCGGUGACAUUUAAGUCACUUCUUUUACCAAAUACCGGCCCUGACACAACUUCAGAAUAAAAUCACUUUGCACAUGGCUCCCAGAAAAGAAACAUAUUUUCUUGAUUUCUGGCACAUGAGGAAGACAUGAGACUUGAGACACGCAUGCCAACAUGAACACCUAACUCUUCUGCAGCUGGUAAGCACCCUCAGUUUGGGAGCUUUGUAAAUUCAGCCACAGAAAUCUCACAGAUUAUACAGAAUGCAGAAUUAGCAGCUACACUAGCUCUCAGGUUUGGCUCCAUUUUGGGAUGAGUUUAGUAAAGCACAUGUUGCACCUAUGAACAAACAGAGACUCUGGUUUCUCCUCAGCAUCAUUAUAAUGUUUUGCAUUUUAAUAUUUCUGGUACAUUCUGUACAAGUUAUAGUGACUGAAAAGUGUGAUAAUGUUCUAUACUCCCACUCUCUGUUCUUUCAACUACAGUUUUCACGGAGGAAACAUCCCCACUUUCACUCUUGUGAUUCUUCCCCCGCAUUCUGCAGGGGCGUGACAUUCAGCCGUAACCUCAGAUCAGAGUUUAAGUUCAGUGGUAAUUGCCUGCCAGAUAUCAAGUUGGAUUCACUGUCAAGAUAAAAGUUGGGGUCAUCUGAAAACCGCAAAGGUUUGAUCACCCUACGCUGUUCCUCAGCAGAUAAGAAACUGUUUAGUAUGAUAAGAGUUCUUGGAAAUUAAUGUUUUUCAACAAUUGAGGGUUCCUGCUGUUAUGAACCCUGCGUGACCACAAUCACGACAGGAAAUCAAACUCUUAGGAAAGGAAGGGAGAGUUCAUUUCUGCAAAUGUAAUUUAUGGGCAGACAGGAGGACACUUCAGACGGCAUUUAUGAGAAAGAAGAGAGGACAGAGCUCUAUACAUUCAUUCUUAUUCCUUUUGAAAUUAUAGCGCUAUACUUUGAUUUGAUUUUAAUCAUAUUUUUCUUUCUUUCUUUCUUUUUGCAAUUCAAACAUGCAUUUAUGAAGUACCUCCCUUCCUUUGACAUACAAUAGCCUAGUAUUGUUGGUAGGAAUUAGCUUGAAUCCAAAGGCAAAGUUAAGAUGAUGGAUAUUGAUGUUUUUAACACAAAUAAUUUUGUUAUUAUCUGAAAAUUCAAAAGCAAAGUCUACUUUUGUGCUAUGCCCUUCACUGACAACACAUGUGCUCCAGCUCCGUCCGUUUCUUCCCCACUGGAAUCAUGCAGAGGCUUCAGUCAAACCUCUUUAGCUUGAAUCACAAUCUGAGAAACUUUGCAUGAGUUCAUUUCCUCCAUUUAAAAAAUAACAUUUUAAUUUAGUCCAUAACAUCAAAGUCAUAAGUUAAAUAUUGUUGACCUCUUCUCUCUUCUCUCAGGCAGCGGGCUGCAUACCGAUGUAGUCGCCCAGUGUCACACAUCUUACUUUGGAGGAGGCAGCAUUAGUAGUUUGGCAGUGGAGCGUUGUGUUUCUUUCAAAACUCUGCAAACUUUACUUUGAAACUGAGCUUGGAACCUGAUGACUGAAGAUAUGGAUGAGAUACAGAUUGUUUGUGGCACCAUCUUGCAUAGUGGCCAUUACUGCGGCUGCAACUCAACCUCACUAGACUGUGACAGUGUAUUUCAAGACCCACUCUGAUGAAAAUCAUGUUUUUCUUGUCUACAUGUUUAUAUGUGAAUUUUUCUAAUGCUACGGGACAUAUCAUGAGAAAAAUCAGAGCGAAAUUGGAUUUUUAAGUAUUUCUGCAGUCAAAUCACUGUGAAUCUCUGGCAGACCCAAACGGCAAGCUCAGAUACGGUGAGAUUUCCUACGUAGCAAAUCCAAGCUCCACCCUCGUAGGCCCGCUAUGAAGGUCACACUAGAAAAAGUAGAGAGGACAGUCGCGGAAUAAGCGUGAGCGUUAGCAGAUUGCAAUGCUCGUAAGAAAGCUAAGUAUGAUAUUAGCUUUCAUCAUUGACACCUUACGUCAGACAUUGGUGUCUGAGAUAAGGUGACCAGACGUCCCUGAUUUCCGGGGACAGUCCCCGUACUGGAUGACCUGUCCCCAGCUAAAGCAGUCCCUGGAAAUGUUUCUGAUUUAAGUGUUUCAUGAAUGAGAACAAAAAUGUUGCAUGUAGACUACAACAACGGUUAUUACUGUUGCCGAGUAAGUAGGAAGCACGAGUAAGCAUGUUGUGCACAGUUCUGAACAACAGUUUUUACUGGGGGUUAUUACGGGGGGCAUGCGCUGCUGUUAAGUAGUACAGAGAUGUGUCUGUGAUCCAGCAGCUGCUCUCCAGAAAUAGAGGGCCUGAAAUCAAAUUUUGCUUAGCAUUCCCCACCCCCUGGAUGUUCUCAGAUGUUCCUGGAUUUCAUUACAGAAAUCUGGUCACCUUAGUCUGAGAGCUGAAUAGCUCCUAUGUUACCUGCUACCUCUACUACAGCGGCAAUGUUAGGCUGCAAGCUAGUGUGAAGGCCAGUGUGCAGAGCAGCGCUGUCUCCGCCCAAGACUCAGAGGCGAACUGCUACUGAGCUACUGGAGCUCUGCAGAAUAAAGGUCCUUGAAAAUGACAAGUAACUUGAUUUUGGCUAAAAACUUCAUAAUAACAAUUUGAAGAUGACUGGGAACACUUGGGUAGUAAAAAAAAAACAGAUGGAGUGGGAUUUUCACCUAGGGUGACCAUACAUCCUCGUUAACCCGGACAUGUCCAUGAGUUUGUGUCGCAUGGAUCUACUGAGUGAGAAGCACGUAAAAUCACUCAAUCCGACCCAAAAGACUCUCAAAAUUAACUACGCAUGACUAUGUGACUCCGCCCCUUUGUAGUCGUGUCCUCUUUUUGGGGAUUCAGAGUAUGCUCUCCCUUUUUAACUGCAUCUACAAAUAACUGUAUUCAUUUGAUACUUUUUAAAAUUGUAUUCAUACUGUAUCUAUUUGCUGCAUGCGGUCCCAGCUUCCCAGUUCUAACCCAUGUUCGUCAUAUCAAUAAUUCCCUGUGUCUACCUGAACACAGAUGCAGAUGCAGAUAUGACGUCUUUGCACAGCCUUCAUGGAUAGAUACAGUAUGUUUCCAUACAUGAAGUGACAGCUGGCUCUAAUAACCUGCAGCUAAUCAGCUCAGUCUCGUGUAGAUUUGAUCCUCAUUUGAUUCAGCACACACUGAGCCACUCCUCUGCCUCUUUAUAUGAUAUGACUACAGAGUCAGAAUGAUAUUCUAAAUAAAUAACUACAAUUCUCACAGCACUAUAAAUUUUUAAGAUGUCUACUUCAGAGCCAGAGUGCGCUCUAGCCUCAGGUGUACACAUUUAUAAGAAGCACAUGUAGACAGACAAGCAGGGGCUUUAAAACAGAUGUUUAUUGGGAGGUUAUAAUCAUACUGAAGUUUUAAUUGCAGGUUGGGAAUAAGCUAAUAAUUAGAUUGUUUAAACCUAAUGUGCUGCAGCCGUCAAAGCAUUUUGCAGGUUGGAUAGUUGUUUAAGGAAAAAAAAUGCUCGUCUGGACAAAUUUCUGAGCUGUGUUCAAGUGAAAGAAUUCUCUCACAGCACUACCCAGUGAGCCAAGAAGUUAAUUUCAAGCAGCGCUGGCAGUACACAAAUGAAAUGUGCUUUAUUUUGGUCAGUUAAAAACUUUUCAUGAGCCUAUAUUCCUUGCAUGCUUGUAUUUCUCCUUGCACAGCCCAGAGCUCAACCAUGAAAUCCACCCACAAAACGUAAAAUUACUGGUCAAUCAAAAGUGCACAUCCCUGAUUUCAAUGCACUGACGCUUCUUACGAGACGUUCACAAGCCUCAUAGUACAUGCUGAGCUCUCUGCCCACACUGCUCCCUCGCUCCCGAAGCUUGUUAAUGCAGAUUCCAACAAGGAGAACCUUCGGCUUUUAUUCUCACGGCGCAGAUCAUGAAAUAGAACGGGAGCUCAUUCGCUUUGAUGGAGCCUGCAGCUUUGGCUUACCCGGUGAGAUAGAGCUUUGGCCUUUUCACCGUGCAAAGAUGAGCUCGGGCUGUACACAUCUGGAAUAAUCCACCUGCAACCUCUGGAGAGGAGGUUCAAUUCAGGGCACGCAGCCAGGGUUCAGCUGACCCGUUUCAAAACAGCUUACCAGCAGGAUCAUGCAUCAUUUUCUUUGGUUGUCCAAGCAGCAAAUGGACACAGUCAUCAUCUAUGUCAGGAACACAGCAUUAGAAUUUUGUUUUGCAAAUAAAGAUGGAUGCCAAAUAGUCCCCUAAUCCCAGGAUGUGAAUGUUUGUGGCAUGUGUGUGUUUUUCUCUGCUUCAUAGCGCACGUAUUUGUCAUCUCAUGUUUGCCUUUUUCCCGAAAAUACUUGUUUAUCAUCAAGCCUGAUAUUUAACGCGGGUAUACACUGAGCGGCAUCAACUUGGAUUGAUCGUGUACAUCAAUCAUAAAUGGACGCUCGGCUGCAGCGGACAGCUGUAUUGCCCCGAGCUUGAGAAUAACUGUUUGUGCGCUGUCCUUUUGGAAGCAUUGGCUGUGAGGGGCUGUGUUGAACAGCAGAGCGAGAAAACAUCCUCCAGCCUAACAGCCAUAAACAGGAUUGAUGUCUACAACCAAGACGUUUGACUUUAUCCAGCCGAGCUUGAGAGGGAUCAUUCGGCUUCAUUGAGCUGAACUGAGGUUUUUGAUGGAAUUGUUUUUUUCACACAAUAUUUUCUUUACCUGUUGGCAGCCAUUAUCACUGCAUGUAAUAUAACGGGGAAGACUGAAAGGCUGGGAGCCGGUUCUAUCAGCUCUAAGGCCAAACACCCUCCAGCUUUCAGUUUUUUUCUGUCGGCUAGUUUAAUCUUACUCACCUGCACAUUUUUCUUGCAAUGUUUUAGGAGUUUUUAUCUUGAACUGGGAUAAGAUAUCAUAAAAACAAAUGGAAAGGGUGUCUGAAUAUGAAUUUGAUGUACCUGAAGCUAAAGUUUAAAAUGCAUCUCAGUGGAAGUUCUUAAACAAAAACUUUUUAAUAUUCUUAUUUCGUUGGGUUUAUUCUUUUUCUCCCCCAGUAAAGGGACUGAUGAAUUGUGAUCUGUCCAGCUACAGGCAGGCCAGGCUGAGUUGUUUGUAGCAGGAUUGCAAUGGCUCAGUUUUUCUUUUUCUGUGAUUACUGUUUAGAUGAAAAGAGUAGAAAACUUGGAAGAAAAAGAGGAGAAUGAUGUGGUUAAAGUCGACCACUUUGAGGACUUCAGCCCUCCAAAAAAAGUAGAUUUUGUGGCAAUUCUGAGAGGGGUAGAAAAGGGAAAGGGGUUGAGAGUUGGGGAAGAUGUGACAAAGGAUCGUCGGGAUAGGGUUAGCCAAGUAUGUGAGUUAAUGCCGAAGCUAAACCAGGACUCUACCAGGGGCUUUAAGUUUCUGACAGUUUCAUGUGCAGCGAAUUGCACGGGUCAUUUUGAAAGCUGUGAAUGUGAGCAUUAUUAACUCCUGAGAUUGUGAACCAUAGACUACAAUCCAGGUGGACUUGAGAGGUAUUUCGAGUUGCAGACAGUUCACUUUGCAUGGAGUUUCACAGUAACUGAAGUUAGAAUUAGAGCACCUCGCAUAACUCGGCACAGCUAACACUGCUUGUGAUUCAGUCUUAGUCCAAGGCGCUGUUGAUCGUAGCUGCAAGGACAAUUUUAAGGAUUUUUAUAAACGAAUCAGGACGGAUUCCAGUGGGUAUUAAACAUUUUUGGUUAGCCGGUUAGCUUUCCAAAAUUGAAAAUAAUUCAUUUGUGUUUUUUUUUGCUCAGUAUCUCUUCAUCUUAGAGGAUGUAAAAACCAUCACAGCCAAGUUACCUUUUACAAAGCAGAUGUCCCUGUGUAUUUUGGUGUUCAAACCUAAACCUUCAGCCAGAUAUUUAGCCGACAAGUUACAGUUGCGUGUGUUUCUAAGUUUUCUUAUCUGCUCGUGAAUGUUUUGUUGGUAAAACAUACUCAAAUGUGGUUUUCCUGGAUAUAAACAACAUACCUGAGAGUGAAAUACAUUAAUUCCUUUUCAGCCAUUGACUUCUCAACAGACAACCCAAUAACGGUUUAAAAUGGACUUUUAAAAUGCAUUAACAUCACACAACCUGAUCCAGAAUCAAUCAGACCAACACAUUAAUGUAAGAGGCUACUUAAGACAAUAACAUUUGAUAGCUGUUUGCCCCUAACCCUACAUUGAAAAUGUAAUGAAAAUCCACCUCCUGUAACUUCCUGAGGCUCUACACAAAGGACGCUGUAAAGAUGGAGCCGAGCUGACAGCAGAGAGAAAGAGAGAUGAUGGGAAAACCCAACAAUAUAUGAAUAUCAAAUAUCUGAGAAGGAUUACGGCAAUCCUUCACUUUCAUCACAGGUUUACUUUAAAAACUGUGUGUUUAGAGAGACUAGACAAAUCCCCCAGACUGAAAGGUUCAAUAAAUUUUGGAUCAGGAAAGAGAGAAAAUAAAUCUGCCUCACAUGCUGCACUCACAUCAAAGAUUAACGAUGCUUAUAAUAUCUGAGGUGUAAAUAGAUAUUUAACUCCAUCCUAGUGUUGUUGUAUUUGUUUAACACUGUGCUGGGGGGUGUUAGCGUCCUCAAACAUGUGAACAUAAUGAGGAAACACUGUUUGCAUCAUAGCUUACAGCUGGUCUCAUAUUCUCGUGGCCUCGUGUUCCCUGGUAGCUGCUCAAAAUGCAUUGCAUUCUGGGGACCUAUUGUCUCUCAUGAGAUGGCUGUCCAUGCCAUUACAGGACCACCACCAUGGCGUGAAACAGUCCGCGACAGACACUGGAUCGUAAAUGCGGUCUUUUAUUUUCUCCAGACUGACGGCCAUCUGCAUUUAGAGAAAUGGCCCAAAAAUCUCCCAUUAAUGCUUUUUCGGGUCUUCUGCGGUGAGCGCUUUUUACACCGACUUCCUCUUCCAUCGGCUUUGUCUAAAAUUACUUUUCUGCUUUUCUUUAUGAAGAUGCAACCACCAUAACAAUACGGCCAUUUAAACCUGGCACAUGACUGUAAAAUAUUUUUGUCUGUAUGUAAUUUGGAAUCCAAAAGACAUAUUCAUUUUAGCGGAUGUAUAAACCCAAUCCCAAAGACGCUGGAACGUUUUGCAAAAUGUUAAUAGAAAAGGAAUUUGUUGGCUGGCAAAUCUUUUAAACCCUGUGUUUAACUGAAAAUAGUGCAAAGGCAGCAUAUGAAAUAUUGGGACUACAUCCUUUUAUUGCUUUGUGAGAAACAGUGUGCUCAUUUUUAAUUUGAUCAUGAAGAGCUUCCAAAGAGGUUUGGACAGGAACAGCAAAGCGCUGAAUGAGAUGUUUGAGAGACUACAUAAGCAAAUAGUUAAGCAUAACAUCGCAAAGAGUUUGUGGAUUUUAUCAUCUACACCACAUUACAAUGUGAAAAGAUUUAGAGGAUCUAGAGAAAUCUCUGUAUAAAAGGGACAAGGCCAAAUAACAGGCAGCAUAGGAAUAAAAAAAAGACUUACUCUGUCGUGGAAUUUACUACAAGACCUCAAAAUCACUUCUAAGAACCUUUAUCUGUGAAUACAGCUUAGUACUGCAUCCACAAAUGAAGACUAGAGGAGUACCAUCUACAAAAGGAACCUAUAUACUUCUACAAUCUGCCAAACUACAAUUUUAUAUUCCUUUUGAAAAACAAGGAUGCUGUGUUUUAAGGCUGGAGUCCUUUUGCAUGUUUGUUUCCCAGCUGCAACCAUAGACUCUAUGUACUAUGGACAACUUGGCUCCGCCUUCUGUCGUUAUGUGAAUUUGAAGCCAAAUUGCUCUCGGUAUUCCAGGAUUGUCUCCACUUCCUGGAACCACCACUUGCACAGUAGUGUUGAAUGCAUUUGGCAGUAGAGUCACUGAGAGUCACUAUGAUGACGCUCGGCUCAAACAGUGACUCCCCCUGCUGAACUACGCAAUCUUCAUACGGCCGUAGACUGUAUCAAGUGUCAAUCAUAGAAAACAUGAACCCCCUAAUAACUUUAAAAACUGAGCUGCACAGAAAAAAGAGGACUUGAGCACAAACCAGUCUUACUGUAACUACAUGUCAACAUUGCAAGCAGGGGGCCUCCUUAAUAUAGUAGUGCUAAACUGUCCUGCCUAUUGAGAGACUACAAAUAUGAAAUCCAUAAUAGAAACUUCUUUGUUUAAGCUGACUGUGUUCUUUGAUAAAUGCUUGUUAAUUCAUGCAUCAAUCCCUCCAUCAAACUUCAAAUACCAAGAGCACAUAUCUGCCAAAAAUAAUACAGUACACAGAUAGUAGAUUCUAAGUGAUGCAUGUUAUGCCAUUCAUGAGGAAAAACUAUUUUCCUGAAUAAUCCGAUGAUUUUAUCACCUCAGCAUCCUGAUUUUUGUCUUUCUAUAGAGAUCUUAUCAGUGUCAGCACACAAACACUGAUCUGAAAUGAGACUUUACUAUGAUCUAACAGUCAGCUCUGCAGACUGAAACGUGUCUGCUGUUUGUGGUGAGACGGGUGCAAAGGUUUGGCCAGGGUCCCAAUCGAUUUCCAUCUUUAUAUGCGACAUUUAUGCAGCCCGUGUUAUAAUGUGCAGCCUCUGUCUGGCUCAGUUUCCUCUCUAUCAGGCACACUGUGCUGCUCCCGCUGCUUCUGCUAGAGUGUGCAUGGAAAUGAGCUUGUGGUAUAAUCCGAGGCGGUAUCGGCACACAUCCUACACUCAGACAUCUCCCAGUCGCUGCUUAUCCACAGACUUUGGUUAAGCUACCUGCCACACUUCUUCAGCACCCAUUCAGGACUUGGAAAAAAAAGAACUGGGGUGAACUUUUUAUCCUACGACUGAAUUCUAAAUACAUAAUUAACCCAUAUUCAGUUGUGCUGCUCCAUCAUAUUAUUCCCAGGAACUGCAUGAAGCAUUAGGAAAAACUUUCCGCUUUCUUUUACUUAUUACUGGGCCACAGGAGCGUGGAUUUAUUCAACUGCAAAUAUUAUACAGCCGCUGUUCAAAUAUGUUUCCAGAUGAAGCAUAGGAGCAUUUUUGGAGAACGAGGGCACACAAACUUUGGGAGUUAAAAGCAGAAAGUGAAAUAAAGUAAGAGAGAGCGCGGCCCUGUUCCCGGAAAAAUAAAAAAAAAAGCAUUUGCAAAGAUGAGUCUGCUGGAUAAUAUACCUGCAGUGUUUGCCAGAGCCUUUGCAUACGUUCAACACAUCAUCCAACGCUUUAACACGUCGCCUCCUCAUCUGAUUGUCUCAUUACCUCAUUUAAGUCUCACUCAGGACCCCACAAACAAAACAUAACAAGCGUCUCAGUCAUUUAAUCGCCAUUAGUGCUGUGGAUAAAUAGAUCCUGGAGGAGGUAUAAGAAUAAAAUGCUACAGUACAUCAUGGAGUAAAUGUUAUCAAUUUCUGUAGGAGCAGUUUAACUUGGCUGAUUCCACGUCCUGGGUGAAUACUUGAUUGUAAUCAAAACUGCCUUAUCUAAUCACUGCAUUACAGAUUAAACCAAGUUAUCACAAACAAGGCUUCCAGUGUAGAGGCUUGAAAUUCCCACCAUGUCCCCAGCUGUGGGUAUUUUGUUGCGUGCAACAAAAUGCAAUCAAUGCAAGACUGUGACAAGCAGAUUUGAAGAGAUGAUCAAUGGAAAUCUUUGCUGCUAAUGAGGCAAAUGCUGCUUUCUGGGGGGUUUUCUGGGAGACUUUUCCAAAAUCUCGCUGAGAUAAACUUCUCACUUAAAGCGAUUUAUGCUUAUAAAUAAUGAAACAUUUAUUGGAUGAGUCCCACUUUGGGAGAGAGAAUUCAAAAUUGGCCUUUUUGCACAAGCACAAGAUCCACCGCUGCAGUACUUCAUGUUCUGCAGGUUGAGUGAGUGAUAGCAGCAGGUAGAUUCACAGAUCAUGCAGACAUGCAGAGGCAAUCAUACCUCUAAUGCACACUGACAUGUUUACUCUUAAGAAACAUGAGUGCUUAAGCUGCAGCUCCCAUCACUAAAGCUCUGGGAAGGAGAGAGAAUACCCUCAACAGUCACAUUUACGCUAAAUUUAAGCAUAGUGGCUGUUUGCACUUAACACGAAAGAGAAGUGCAUGUUUGUAAUGACUCAACACUAAAGCAUCACCAUGCCCUCUAACAGAUAAAGAGCAAAACAAAUAAUUGAGUCAGCAUUUUCUGCCGUGCAUCAUUUGCUGAAAGGAUGAUGAAUAAUUAAGAGGAGCUCCAUUUAAUGGGGGAGAAUGCCAGUGAAACGUCUACCCAAAUAACCACAGAAAUUUAUACCCUACAUUAAUAUAUAUUGGAAAAUGGAGUAGAAGACAUUAAUAUAGAUUGGUAUUUUCUAUGUGGGUCAGUUUAACUGGUCAAAUGUCAUUAAUGUAACCUACAUUUAUGAACAUGGCUGUCUGAAUUGGAGACGGCUCCCUGAGUUUAGUAAGGUCACAGUCAGGAGGACUCUGCAGAGUUAUGAUGGUCUGAUAAUGGAAGAAGUUACAGAAGAGAUUCAGGUUUUAGCUGCAAAUGACAGCUCUGUGCAAACUUCACAAAACUUAAAAGUGCUUUGUUGCUGCUGCUAAUGAGCUCAUGUGGUGUUUCACUGCUCUGUCAUUGUUUGUGAUCUCUCCUGUUUCCUCUUCUCUUCAAAGAAACCAAACAUGUUGGACGUUUACAAAAAUAUACAUCAGGAUCAGCUUCGGAGCUCUGUGUUUGAGGAACUCUCGGGUUGUGAUUUUGGUGACGCCUGAGCAAAGCAGGACAAAACAGAG